rnacentral:rRNA from 1 species
UACGUAGGGUGCAAGCGUUGUCCGGAAUUAUUGGGCGUAAAGAGCUCGUAGGCGGUCUGUCGCGUCUGCUGUGAAAACUCAGGGCUUAACCCUGAGCUUGCAGUGGGUACGGGCAGACUAGAGUGCGGUAGGGGAGACUGGAAUUCCUGGUGUAGCGGUGAAAUGCGCAGAUAUCAGGAGGAACACCGGUGGCGAAGGCGGGUCUCUGGGCCGUAACUGGACGCUGGAGGGAGCGAAAAGCAUGGGGAGCGAACAGG